CAAUAGCGUAUAUUAAAGUUGUUGCAGUUAAAAAGCUCGUAGUUGGAUUUCUGUCAAGGACAACUGGUCCGCCCUCCGGGUGAGCACAUAGUUUGGUCUUGACAUCUUGCUGGAAGCUGUUGCUGCACUUGGCUGUGUGGCGCAGUGUUCAGCACUUUCACUUUGAGGAAAUUGGAGUGUUUCAAGCAGGCACAUGCCUUUGGACACAGUAGCAUGGAAUAAUUAGAUUGGGCUUUUGCUCCAAUUUGUCGGUUUCUGGAGCUGAGGUGAGUAUUAAUGGGGAUUGUUGGGGGCAUCCGAAUUUAGCCGUCAGAGGUGAAAUUCUUGGAUCUGCUAAAGACGGACAACUGCGAAAGCGUUUGCCCAGGAUGUUUUCAUUGA
rnacentral:rRNA from 1 species